rnacentral:miRNA from 1 species
AGGCAGUGUAAUGUUAGUUGGCUGC